UACGUAGGGGGCAAGCGUUAUCCGGAAUUAUUGGGCGUAAAGAGUGCGUAGGUGGUUACCUAAGCGCAAGGUUUAAUCUUGAGGCUCAACCUCAUUCUGCCUUGCGAACUGGGCUACUUGAGUGCAGGAGGGGAAAGCGGAAUUCCCAGUGUAGCGGUGAAAUGCGUAGAUAUUGGGAAGAACACCGGUGGCGAAGGCGGCUUUCUGGACUGUAACUGACACUGAGGCACGAAAGCGUGGGGAGCAAACAGGAUUAGAUACCCUGGUAGUCCCUGA
rnacentral:rRNA from 1 species